rnacentral:ribozyme from 13 species
UUCUUGUCCCCUUCUCUUUUUUUUUUUUUUUUCAUUGAAUCAUCACUCUUUCUCUCUUAGUAAAGAGAAUUUUUGUCGAAAUCAUCAG